GGCAAGAUGGCCGAGCGGUCUAAGGCGCUGGAAUCAGGUGGUUCGCAACAUCUUGGGUUGAUGCAUCCUCCCGUGGGUCAGUCCGCGAUGUAUCCAGUCCGAAAGGGCGCGGGUUCGAAUCCCGCUCUUGUCA